UACGUAGGGUGCAAGCGUUAAUCGGAAUUACUGGGCGUAAAGGGCUCGUAGGCGGCCAACUAAGUCCGACGUGAAAUCCCAAGGCUUAACCUUGGAACUGCGUCGGAUACUGGAUGGCUUGAAUUCGGGAGAGGGAUGCAGAAUUCCAGGUGUAGCGGUGAAAUGCGUAGAUAUCUGGAGGAACACCGGUGGCGAAGGCGACAUCCUGGACCGGUAUUGACGCUGAGGCGCGAAAGCCAGGGGAGCAAACGGG
rnacentral:rRNA from 1 species